rnacentral:ncRNA from 21 species
ACUGUGGAGAACGAGACAAACCGUAGUAGUGUCGAAGUGACGAGGCGGCGUUCGGUGAAACAGUAA